CGGGUGGAGCCGCCUUGGGUGCAGAUCUUGGUGGAAGUAGCAAAUAUUCAAAGGAGAACUUUGAAGGCCGAAGGGGAGAAGGGUUCCAUGUG
rnacentral:miRNA from 10 species